CCGGGCUCCCACUGGCCUUGCCUUUGGGGGUGCUGGCACCAGGCUGUACUGGGCAGACCAUGAAAGAGGUACCAUCAGCAGUGUUGAGCUGGAUGGAUCCCGCUUCCGGCUGGUGCGGGAAGGGUUGCAUGGUCUCUCGCUCUUUGCCGUAGGAGAAGGCUUUCUGCUCUGGAGCACAACCUCUACCAAUGGCUCCAGCAAGAUCUGGCACAGCCGGCUGGAGCAGGCUGAGAGCUGGUGGUUCCUGAUGGAG